rnacentral:other from 1 species
GCAGGGCUGCGGGGCCCGUCAGGCUGGUACAGACCCGGGGGCCUAUAAUCUCCGCUUGGGAGCUGACCCUGCAUGGGACCGUGGUCUCAUGCACUCGGCGCCCACCUACGAACGUAGGGACCCAGCGGGCUCGUCAACGCCAACGACCUUGCGGCUCUGCC